AGAGACUUAGGUUAAAUAUUAAACCGAGGGCCUUCAAAGCCCUAAAUAGAGUCGCCUCUAGUCCCUG
rnacentral:tRNA from 1 species